rnacentral:rRNA from 1 species
UACGUAGGGUGCGAGCGUUGCCCGGAUUUAUUGGGCGUAAAGGGCGCGCAGGCGGCUACGCACGUCCGUUGUGAAAUCGCUCGGCUCAACUGGGCGGAGUCAGCGGAUACGGCGUAGCUGGAGCAAGCUAGGGGGCAAUGGAAUUCCCGGUGUAGUGGUGGAAUGCGUAGAUAUCGGGAGGAACACCAGUGGCGAAGGCGGUUGCCUGGAGCUUUGCUGACGCUGAGGCGCGAAAGCGUGGGGAGCGAUCCGG